CUCUGGUGGCAAGAAGGCAAACAUCUUACUGCUUCUUUCUCCUCUAAACUCCGUAGAAAAUAAUACUGUAGGGUUUGCUCGCCCUGUUCAGAGUCUACUUUUUCCCUCACCUCAGUAUUUCAUUUUGUGUACGCCUGGAGGAAGAGGUUUCAGACAAAAAAGGAGAAAUGCUAUAAUUAACAAAGCCUACCCUCUCUCUCGCCUCAGAAGAAAAUGAUGGUAUAGCUGUGGACUUGACCUUAAGACAAAGGCAGACAGAAGCCCUGAGUGCAGUCAUUGCCUUAUUUUCACCAAACAUUGUAGCUGGAUCUGUGCAAUAUGUGAGAGUGGAGGGUCCGGAUGAAAAGGAAAAGCUAGCACAGAGAUUCAGCAACCCUGGUAAGGCCAGGUCACAAGCACAAGAAAGAAGUAGCCAUUAUUUGAAUGAGCCGAUGACCUGGGAUCUGGUAAAAGAGGAAUAUCAAAGUAAGUGCCAAGAAUGAUACAUAAUAAACAAGAUCCAAGUAAUAAGUUCCCA
rnacentral:lncRNA from 12 species